GACGAACGCUGGCGGCGUGCCUAAUACAUGCAAGUUGAGCGCUGAAGGUUGGUACUUGUACCGACUGGAUGAGCAGCGAACGGGUGAGUAACGCGUGGGGAAUCUGCCUUUGAGCGGGGGACAACAUUUGGAAACGAAUGCUAAUACCGCAUAAAAACUUUAAACACAAGUUUUAAGUUUGAAAGAUGCAAUUGCAUCACUCAAAGAUGAUCCCGCGUUGUAUUAGCUAGUUGGUGAGGUAAAGGCUCACCAAGGCGAUGAUACAUGGCCGACCUGAGAGGGUGAUCGGCCACAUUGGGACUGAGAAACGGCCCAAACUCCUACGGGAGGCAGCAGUAGGGAAUCUUCGGCAAUGGACGAAAGUCUGACCGAGCAACGCCGCGUGAGUGAAGAAGGUUUUCGGAUCGUAAAACUCUGUUGGUAGAGAAGAACGUUGGUGAGAGUGGAAAGCUCAUCAAGUGACGGUAACUACCCAGAAAGGGACGGCUAACUACGUGCCAGCAGCCGCAGUAA
rnacentral:rRNA from 1 species